rnacentral:piRNA from 1 species
UCAGUGUAAAUGUAGAUGCAGCUCUGGC